rnacentral:rRNA from 1 species
CCCUUAGAUGUCCUGGGCCGCACGCGCGCUACACUGACAUGUUCAACAAGCCUCCUAGUUCGACAGGAUUUGGGAAAUCUUUGAACGCAUGUCGUGAUAGGGAUAGAUCAUUGCAAUUAUUGAUCUUGAACGAGGAAUUCCUAGUAAACGCGAGUCAUCAGCUCGCAUUGAUUACGUCCCUGCCCUUUGUACACACCGCCCGUCGCACCUACCGAUUGAAUGUUUCGGUGAAGCCUCGGGAUUGUGGCCAGUUCACUUUAUUGGGAGUUGGCUGUGAGAACUUGUCUAAACCUUAUCAUUUAGAGGAAGGUGAAGUCGUAACA